rnacentral:sRNA from 1 species
AUCGCUUCUCGGCCUUUUGGCUAAGAUCAAGUGUAGAUUUAAAAGAAAGGCCAGGUGCCAAACAAUGAAAAUAUAGUCUGUCACCUUUUGUGUAUGAAAGAAAGAUAAGACUACCUAUGCAUUUGCUUCUGUUUGCUAAAGAAACACUGGAAGAAGAAAGCAAUAACA